CUUUUGAACCCGGCUCUGAGGCGCGUACACACCGCCCGUCACUCUCCCCUGUUAAAUUGCGCCAACUGUAAUUAACCUAACAGCAUCAACAGGGGAGGCAAGUCGUAACAUGGUAAGUGUACCGGAAGGUGCACUUGGAUUAAAC
rnacentral:rRNA from 1 species